rnacentral:rRNA from 1 species
AACGAACGCUGGCGGCAGGCCUAACACAUGCAAGUUGAGCGAGACCUUCGGGUCUAGCGGCGGACGGGUUAGUAACGCGUGGGAACGUGCCCUUCUCUGCGGAAUAGCCACUGGAAACGGUGAGUAAUACCGCAUACGCCCUUCGGGGGAAAGAUUUAUCGGAGAAGGAUCGGCCCGCGUUAGAUUAGAUAGUUGGUGGGUAACGGCCUACCAAGUCUACGAUCUAUAGCUGGUUUUAGAGGAUGAUCAGCAACACUGGGACUGAGACACGGCCCAGACUCCUACGGGAGGCAGCAGUGGGGAAUCUUAGACAAUGGGCGCAAGCCUGAUCUAGCCAUGCCGCGUGUGUGAUGAAGGUCUUAGGAUCGUAAAGCACUUUCGCCAGGGAUGAUAAUGACAGUACCUGGUAAAGAAACCCCGGCUAACUCCGUG